rnacentral:lncRNA from 1 species
ACCUGAAUAUUACCUUAUUCUCCUCAAGGAUUGCCUUCUUUCCUAUAUUGUCUUUACUGCCCUCUCUGACCCUCUCACAUUUUAAUACCUUCAACAGAGGUAUGCUCUGAAGGUGGACAUAGUAGACAGUGACCCACUGCACCCAGUGAACAAGGCAAAAAUACGGGUUUGCCAAACCAUCAGGCUACGUGUGUGCUCUCUGAUCAAGGCACCUUAGAUGCAGAUGAUUUCCAGAAAGUCUGGAAGAAAUUGCAUGAAGGUGUAGAUGUGCGGAAGCAGAUCUGAAGACAAAGGUGCUAGCAGAUACUCAUCGACAACAGUGAUUCUCAAUUGGAGGAGAUUUUACAGACUAUCCAACACUUGCCCCACCCUCCGCCACCGAGGAUAUUUGGCAAUAGCUGGAAAUAUUUGGUUUUGCUUGUCACAGCUGUGGGAGAAGUGCUACUGGCAUCAGGUACUUGGAGGCCAGGAAUGCUGCUAAACAUUCUACAAGGCACAAGACAAUGCACAUAAUCAUAGUCAUCCUCAAAGUUCCAUUGUGAUGCUGUUGGGAAACCCUGAUCUAAAGAAACAUCAGGCCGGGCGCGGUGGCUCACGCCUGUAUGGGAGGCCGAGGCGGGUGGAUCACGAGGUCAGGAGAUCGAGACCACGGUGAAACCCCGUCUCUACUAAAAAUACAAAAAAAAUUAGCCGGGCGCGGUGGCGGGCGCCUGUAGCCCCAGCUACUCGGGAGGCUGAGCCAGGAGAAUGGCGUGAACCCGGGAGGCAGAGCUUGCAGUGAGCCGAGAUCGCUCCACGGCACUCCAGCUUGGGCAACAGAGCGAGACUCCAUCUUAAAAAAAAAAAAAAAAAGAAACAUCAGUGGAAGAGGAAGAAACUGCAGGGAUUCCAAUGUUGGAAGCAUUUUUAGCGUACAACAACAUCCAAGUGGAUUACUAUGAAUGCCUAGACCUCUAUGGCAAACAGUCUCUUCGUGGCCUGUGCUGAGGACUACAUCAGUCUCCUGCAAUUAUCAUCUACACUGAAAAACAAAGAGGACAGAGGCGAAGCUAGUGGCCCUCACCAUCCCCUGCAAGCUGAUUGCUUCUUACUGCAAGCACUUGAGCAUCUUCCUGAGAGCUUUCUUGGGCAAUGGGAACCAGGCUUGGCCCAAUCACAGGCAGGUGAAGUAUGAGGAAAUGGAGAAGGCAUUGUCCAAGGAGCAGUCUUCAACCUUCACCCCGCAAGUGAGACAACUCUGAAUAAGAUGUGUUCUACACUCUCUUCCAAAGGUCCCCAGUUGGAUGGAGCUCUAGCUGCUCAUGUGAUAAGCUGCCUAUUAAUACACAAAAGAUUGCCUUUCCUCCUUGCUCUGUCUUCCUGCUGCUCUCCUACUAAUGUUUCCUGGGAUUGCCUCCAAAUAAACCACUUGAACUCACA